CUGGACUGAGGAGCAAGGUUUGUUGCUGGCCCAGUUGGUGAACGAACAUAAAGGUAUGUUACGAGGAAAAUUUGGCCCAACUGUCACUAGCCAAGGCAAGAGGCGCGCCUGGGACACAAUAUCCCAAACAAUCAAUGCCUCUUUUCCACUGGUGGUGCGGACAGGCGACGAUUGUGAGAAAAGGUGGUAUGUGCUGCAGUCCAAGGCAAAAGAUGAGAUUGCAGCACACAAGCGGGAAUCCUCACUCACAGGUGAGCAAAAUACUAUGGCCUACCACAUAAUCUGGCAAUUUGCUCCUGCUGGCAAAGUUAAUUUACAUGCCUAAGUACUGUGUUCAUUGACUGUUUCUUUCUAGGGGGUGGACCACCUGCAAAGCGGCUGUCCCAGGUGGCCGACACUGUCUUUCAAGUCCUGGGACACUCUGAGGUCAGUGUCACCGGGCUGCCAACAGGCAUUGACACGUCAAUGAUGCAGGCCCUUGAAAUGCAGCAAAGCAUGGAGCCAUCACAAGAACCGGGCCCAUCAAGUUUGCCGCCUGAACCAUCUGCAGCUGCUACUCAGGAUAGCCCGGCGGAUCAAACACCAUUCCCAUCCGCAGCACCUGCUCCGUCAGCAUCCCUGCAGGAGAGAAGAUUGCAACUCACAAUUGAUGUGUUUGAACAACAAAAAAAAGUCCUUUCCCUUCAGGAGGAGUACUACCGCCUUAAAAUUGAACACCUAAAAAAUAAACCAUUUAGAGAUUG